UACGGAGGGGGCUAGCGUUGUUCGGAACUACUGGGCGUAAAGCGCGCGUAGGCGGACCUGCAAGUCGGGGGUGAAAGCCCGAGGCUCAACCUCGGAACUGCCUUCGAUACUGCGGGUCUCGAGUCCGGGAGAGGUGAGUGGAAUUCCUAGUGUAGAGGUGAAAUUCGUAGAUAUUAGGAAGAACACCAGUGGCGAAGGCGGCUCACUGGCCCGGUACUGACGCUGAGGCGCGAAAGCGUGGGGAGCGAACAGG
rnacentral:rRNA from 1 species